rnacentral:tRNA from 2 species
GCAGGCGUGAUUCAAUGGUAGAAUGUGACCUUCCCAAGGUUAAUACGCGAGUUCGAUUCUCGUCGCCUGCU